GGUGCUAUAACUAAGUGGGAAGGCAAAGGUCUGCUAAACUUUAAUCACCGAUUCACAUCCGGUUACCCCUU
rnacentral:tRNA from 1 species